rnacentral:rRNA from 1 species
UGGGGGAAUAUUGCACAAUGGGCGAAAGCCUGAUGCAGCAACGCCGCGUGAGUGAUGAAGGUCUUCGGAUUGUAAAGCUCUGUCUUUUGGGACGAUAAUGACGGUACCAAAGGAGGAAGCCACGGCUAACUACGUGCCAGCAGCCGCGGUAAUACGUAGGUGGCGAGCGUUGCCCGGAUUUACUGGGCGUAAAGGGUGCGUAGGCGGAUGUUUAAGUGAGAUGUGAAAUACCCGGGCUUAACUUGGGUGCUGCAUUUCAAACUGGAUAUCUAGAGUGCAGGAGAGGAGAAUGGAAUUCCUAGUGUAGCGGUGAAAUGCGUAGAGAUUAGGAAGAACACCAGUGGCGAAGGCGAUUCUCUGGACUGUAACUGACGCUGAGGCACGAAAGCGUGGGUAGCA